AUUUAAAUCCGAUCUUCCCAACUUCCGACCAACACUAGUGGCUGCACCCGUCCGCUCUGCAGUUGCUAUUAGAACCCACCACAUCUAAACUUCAUCGUUGCUACAGGACAGUGUCGUAUUCGCAGUUGUUGCAGUCUUGUUGCUGCUGCAGCCAUCUUGAGUGGAUUACACUGCGUUCCAAUAAUUGUGUUCUCGGAUCCGAUUCGCCGUUCGCGCUCCAUCAAUAGAAGCCUCGAUUCUUUUAUUUGUCAUCAUCGGCAGCAUGUCAUUUGAAACACAGGUCAAUUUUUUUCCAUAUUAUAUUUUUUCGUAAAAAUAUUAAUUAUUCCAGCUAUGAUAUUUUUUUUAAUAAUAGGUACUCGUAUUUUUAUGACUAUACUUCGGACCAUCACGAAUUACUCUAGUGAUUUCCAUGCUGACACUAUCGCCAACGCCACCAUAAAGCUGUCAUCUGUUGAAGUUCCCUGAAAAGUCUUCCAUUUGUUGUAAGCAUUAAACAUAGAUUGUUAUGAUUUGUUUUUAUGUGUUGGUGCAUUGUGGAGGUCAUUUUUUAAUUUUCCAAUAAGUUUUCGAAAUAAUUGCGAAAAACCUACUUUCCAUAGACAAAUUUCGGAUAAUCUAGUUGGACUAUACCUUCUUUCUACCUAUUUGCUUCUAUUCAAUUCUUACAAGGUCCACCUAAAAAUAAAAUAGUAAAAACUGGCACUGCAAAAGUAAAAAGUACAGUAGAAAAUAUUGUUUUAUUAAAUUUAGGUAGGUACCUACAUUCUUCUUGAAGUUUAUACUUUAGAGAGGUUAUUAUUUUAUUUACCUAAGAGUUCGCCUAUCAAAUGUUAAAAAAUCAUUACUUACAGAUGUACAAUAAAUUCCAUUUAUAUCUUAUGUUCUCAACUUCCCACCUACACCAACAGCUGCACCCGUUCUCAUUAUCUUACCUUUACUUUGGUUAAUGAAAUAAUUACAAAAUUCUUCAUCAGUAUAACAGAAGGUUCAUUAUCUCAAAAAAUAAAUAGAUACCAAAAACUUCAGUGUAAUAUUUGUAUUUUGCUGCUAUAUAUAUAUAGGUUUAUAAUAUUUAUAUACCAGGUGAUCUAUUUAAUUGGGUACACUCAUUAUCUCGAAACUAUAAACUUUCUUCCAAAUAUGUUUUUUAGGAUAUUUAAGAAACAAAGUGUGUUACAAUUUUAUAUUUAUGUUUUUUGUUUGUCACCCUUUUUUCGGAGACGAAACUAAUACCUACUUCUGUUUUUUCAAAUAGCAACCUAUAUAUUAAUAAAAUGAAAUUCCUUAUACAGGUUUCCAUUUGAAAAUUAAAAGUAGCUAGUGGUAUUACUACGCAAAGUAUUGGUGACAAAAAAUAACAUAAAUAUAUAAUAAUUGAGUAGCUUGUUUCUUAAAUAUCCUAGAACACAAAUUGGAGAAAAAUUUGUUCUUUCCCAGAUAAUGAGUAUACCCGCCAUAAUUAAUUACCUGGUUGUACUCAUACAAAAGACUUAAAAAGGCCUUUUUUUGUUAGUUUAAUUUUAAUCAUGAUAAACUGAAUAACGUUAAAAUAAUGUAGUAGAAAACAAAUAAUUAAGAGCUAUCCAAAAUCCACAGUUAAUGUUAAGAUCAUCCAAAUAUUGACAUUUCAUUAUAACAUUCAUAUGAGUAAUUUUUUUUUAUUGUAUUUAUAGUAAAAUUCUCAUGAACAUGGAUAAGGUUUCUCCAUAUUCCUAUCCGAAGAAAAUGGAUUAUAUGAAAAAAGAUACUGUAAGUAUAAUUAUUUCAUUUAUGUAUGCAUAUUACAAUUGAUUUUAAUAAAUUGAAUUUAUUACAGCUUUGCAUUUGGAAAGACAAAAAGGAAAACAACAAAACACAUUUAAUAGAAAAAUAUCUUAUAGGAUUGGCUAAUUCUGGUUUAGUAUUAUUUUUAAAGAUUGUCUUACACAACGCCAUAUAGCAUCAAAGGACUCAUAUCGAUAAUAAAUAUUUAAAUGUUUAGAUGAUAUAAUUACGUCAGUAAUUAUACAAGUUAAAUAAGUCAUAAUUAAAAUUUCAUACCAACUCAUAAAAGAUUAUUAAUUAUAGAUUUUAAUUUAUGAUUACUUUUAUUUCUAGCUGUCGACAGGUUUUCAUAAUAUUUUUCAUUGCUAAUCAUAUUCUGAGUAAUAUCUGGUUGGAAGAGUAUUAAAUAAUAAUAAGCGUUUGAAGGCGAAGGUAAAGGAUUUGAAUAUAGUGAAUCAUAUGGUUUUUUUAAUUACCCUUAUAAUCUUAUCAAAGUUGACUUAUAACCAUCACAGUUAAGAUCCCAAAUGUUUUCAAAUUUUGCUUAUUAUUCUUAUGACUUAAUUGUCUGAUUGGACAUCGUCACUUUAACUGGAAAAAAAUGAAUAAUAUAGAU